GGGAAAAGCUCAAAUUUAAAAUCUGGCAGUUCUCAACUGUCUGAGUUGUAAUCUAGAGAAGUGUUUACCUUUGCUGGACCAUGUACAAGUCUUCUGGAAUGGGGCAUCAUAGAGGGUGAGAAUCCCGUCUUUGACAUGGACUACCUGCAUAUUAUGGUAUGCUCUC
rnacentral:rRNA from 1 species